GAUGAACGCUGGCGGUAUGCUUAACACAUGCAAGUCGAACGGUCACUUCGGUGAUAGUGGCGGACGGGUGAGUAACGCGUGAGAAUCUGUCUUCAGGUCGGGGACAACAGUUAGAAAUGACUGCUAAUACCGGAUGUGCCUUUGGGUGAAAGAUUUAUUGCCUGAAAAAGAGCUCGCGUCAGAUUAGCUAGUAGGUGGUGUAAGAGACUACCUAGGCUCCGAUCUGUAGCUGGUCUGAGAGGACGAUCAGCCACACUGGAACUGAGACACGGUCCAGACUCCUACGGGAGGCAGCAGUGGGGGAUUUUCCGCAAUGGGCGAAAGCCUGACGGAGCAAUACCGCGUGAGGGACGAAGGCUUUUGGGUCGUAAACCUCUUUUCUCAAGGAAGAUGAUGACGGUACUUGAGGAAUAAGCAUCGGCUAACUCUGUG
rnacentral:rRNA from 1 species